UGGCGGUGCUUUAGACUAUUCAGGGGAACCUGUCUCGUAAUCGAUAGUCCACGAUACACCUAACCUUUUUUAGUUAUCAGUAUGUAUACCGUCGUCGUCAGGUAACUUUUAAAAAUAAAGAAGUUAGCGACAAAAAUUAUGAUAAUUUUGUACGUCAGAUCAAGGUGCAGCUUAUAAAAAGGUGAGGAUGGGUUACAAUUAAAAUUUAUCAUAACGGAAAAAAGCUUGAUAUACCUUUUAAUGAAGGAGGACUUGAAAGUAAAAUUGUUAUAUACAAAUUUUUUGAAUUUAGCUCUGAAGCGU
rnacentral:rRNA from 1 species